AUUGAACGCUGGCGGCAUGCUUUACACAUGCAAGUCGAACGGUAACAGGCCGCAAGGUGCUGACGAGUGGCGAACGGGUGAGUAAUGCACCGGAACGUGCCCAGUCGCGGGGGAUAACUACUCGAAAGAGUAGCUAAUACCGCAUACGCACUAUGGUUGAAAGCGAGGGAGCGUAAGGCUUCGCGCGGUUGGAUCGGCCGAUGUCAGAUUAGGUAGUUGGUGGGGUAAAGGUUCACCAAGACAAUGAUCUGCAGCUGGGCUAAGAGGACGACCAGCCAGACUGGGACUGAGAAACGGCCCAGACUCCUACGGGAGGCAGCAGUGGGGAAUUUUGCACGAGGGGGGCAAGGCUAAUCCAGCAAUGCCGCGGGAAGGAAGAAGGCCUUCGGGUGGGAAACUGAUGUAGGACGGAACGAAGCAGAUCUGGUUAAUCCCCGAGGAUAAUGACGGCACCGUAAGAAUAAGCACCGGCUAACUACGUG
rnacentral:rRNA from 1 species